rfam:Felis catus isolate Cinnamon breed Abyssinian chromosome C2, whole genome shotgun sequence.
ACCUGGCUGGCUCAGUUGGGAGAGCAUGAGACUCUUGAUCUCAGGGCUAUGAGUUCAAGUCCCAUGUUGGGUG